UGAAGGUAAUUGUCACCAGAUGCC
rnacentral:siRNA from 1 species